rnacentral:rRNA from 1 species
UACGUAGGGGGCGAGCGUUGUCCGGAUUCAUUGGGCGUAAAGAGCUCGUAGGCGGCUUGGCAAGUCGGAUGUGAAAACUCUAGGCUCAACCUGGAGCCGCCAUUCGAUACUGCUAUGGCUAGAGUCCGGUAGGGGAGUGUGGAAUUCCCGGUGUAGCGGUGAAAUGCGCAGAUAUCAGGAGGAACACCGAUUGCGAAGGCAGCUCGCUGGGACGUGACUGACGCUGAGACGCGAAAGCGUGGGGAGCAAACAGG